rnacentral:rRNA from 1 species
UGGGGAAUAUUGCACAAUGGGCGCAAGCCUGAUGCAGCGACGCCGCGUGAAGGAUGAAGGUCUUCGGAUUGUAAACUUCUAUCAGCAGGGAAGAAUAAAUGACGGUACCUGACUAAGAAGCCCCGGCUAACUACGUGCCAGCAGCCGCGGUAAUACGUAGGGGGCGAGCGUUAUCCGGAUUUACUGGGUGUAAAGGGUGCGUAGGCGGCUUGGUAAGUCAGAAGUGAAAUUUAGGGGCUCAACCCCUAAGCUGCUUCUGAAACUGCCGAGCUAGAGUGUGGGAGAGGAAAGUGGAAUUCCGAGUGUAGCGGUGAAAUGCGUAGAGAUUCGGAGGAACACCAGUAGCGAAGGCGGCUUUCUGGACCAUAACUGACGCUGAGGCACGAAAGCGUGGGGAGCAAACAGG